GAAAUAUAACAGCCUUGCUUUUUAAAAUAUGAAGUCCCGUCUACGUUGUGCUCAGGAAUCUGACUGCAUUAUGACAACACAGUGGAACUUAUCCAUGACGAAUGGUCCAGCUGCAUUUCUUAUUCCUUCUCCUUGUCGCUAUGGUUCUCCUACCAGUAUGACUUUCUUGGAUUUACAUCUCAAGUCUGUAGGAGCUAACUUCCUCCCAUACCUAGCCAGCAGCGGGGCUUGAGUUUCCUUUCUUUGGAGCUGUGCAGUGUUUGUUCUAUGCUGUUUACAGCCAGUGGGGAUGCCCUAUUGCUUCCUUAAGGUAGCCUUUCCUACAACACAGAGGGACAUGCAAAAUUGGAAAUGAUGUUAAUUAAUUAACUUUUCCUGCACAAACACUCAGUCUACAACCUGGGUGCAUCAAGGAUGUGUUCCUCUGGACCUCUGUCGUUGGUGUUGGGUGUUUUGAUCAACAACAAGGAAAGUAAGAACAGACAGAAAAAUAUAGUGUUCCACCUAUGGGAAAAUCUUUGUGGAUACUCCACAGUCCAAGGAAAAAGGAAGAAGAAUAAAAGAAAGGGAGAGAUGAGAAAAGAGGAGAAAAGUAAUGGAUCAUUAAAAAUGAAAUUGUAA
rnacentral:lncRNA from 1 species